UUUCUCUCUCUUCCUCCCUCCUCUCCAGCGAACUCUCUCUCUCCCUCUCAACCUCCUCCACCAUUUUCGAUCUCUCUUUCUCUCAACCUCCUUCGUUCUUUGUCUCUUCUGCCAAAAUUUGUAGAUCCAAUACCUCUUGCAAAUCAGUAAUUUGCUAGGUGUUAUACUCAAAUUGGAAAUUGAGGAUGGUAGCGUUGCCAAAAGCAAAAACUAGAGGUUGAUGGGAAAGUUGAGGAUAACAAGGAAGUUUCUGGUAUAAUGUUAAAGCCUAAGAUGGACAUUGUUUCCAAAUCAGUUGCUUAGAUCAUGAAUGAGCAAAGAGGAAAUUUAGUUGGCUGAAGGGAGCUGUAAGCUGAUGGAUGUGAGUCUGAUUAGUUUUGCUAUUAUAUUGUGGCUAGUGAAGGCCUGGUUACUUGGGGUGGGUGCAAGCAAUAGCUUAUUGUAGAAUUGUGCUAUGUUGGUGAUGCAUAUUUUCUGUUGGUGUUGGACUGAAGCCAGCUUGGUAGUUUGAGUUGCUGCAUUACCCACCUGUGGACUUUGUAAUAAUUAUUCUUACUCUAUAUUCAGGUAACACUAUCCUACUAGCUCAAAAGGUAGAGCAUUGUGCUAAUGCACAAAAGAUGUGCGUUCGAAUCCCACGUAGGUUCAUAUUUACUUUUUGUAUUGUUUGAUUUACUUUUAGUUUGAAAACGUUUACUUUGGCCUCCAUAUACUCCAAUACUCGGAGAUUCUGAACCUUGUAUCCCAAGAGAGAGGAGCCAAGUUUAGUGCCCUUUCAUGAAGCCUGAAUUGGAGGCUGCCAUUGGAAGCAUAAUCUGAUACCAAGAGGUGCAAACUUGCAAUUGAGGAGUCAAUAGUAUCCUCUAAGGAAGGCAAUAGUGCCUGACCUCCCUAUCAUAGUCUCCUGCCUUCUGCUCCUAUAGUAGCCUUGUUAACUGCGCCAAAACUCCCUCCCCUGAUCUCAGAGGCCUUGUUGAUCAGAGAUUCAGGGUUCGCAAACAAGUUCCCUGGUGAUCUUGUAUCAAAGAGGACUAGCCUCCCUACAGAGGGUGAACCUGAGCGAGAAGAGCUUGAGAGAUGCUUUCCAACGCAUUGUCAAUGAAAUCCAGUCUUCUUGCAGAAGCGUUAAGUAGAGUUAUGAAGCCAAUCUCCUCCUUGCAGAAGCAUUAAGUAGGGUUAUGAUAACUACUCCAAAAACGAUUAUUACAGCAGCUGUUAUCGCAACAAUAGAUGAGAUACUGAGAAAAUUUGGAUGAUCUAAUCUUCUCUCUAACUCGUUAUUUCCAUGCAUCUGGUGUGGAUAUGCAUUGGGAUUUUUGAAAUUUUUUUUAUUUACUUUAGAGAAUGUUUUAUUUACUUUUGAGAAUUUUUAAUUUACUUUUGAUUUGUUUUAUGUUCCUCUUGUUGUUGUAGCAGUCUUGUUUGCCGACAUAAUGGUACUUUAUGGAUUGAUAACACUAGCCUACUAGCUCAACUGGUAGAGCAUUGUGCAAAUGCUCAAAAGAUGUGGGUUCGAAUCCCAUGUAGGUUUGUCUUUACUUUUUGUAUUAUUCUAUUUACUUUUAAUUCGAAAACCUUUACUUUGAACUUAUAUACUAUCUUUGAAACCAAACUUCAAACUAAGCGAUCAUGUCAUAUCCACAAUGAUGUUAUUUUAUGAUAAUUAGAUAGGAUAUCAUGUUUAUAGGGUUGGUAAUAUUUUACUUUUGAGUUUUUUCAAAUUUACUUUUGAGUUUAGUUUGUUUACUUUUGUAUUAUUAUGAUUUACUUUUGAGUUUAUAUUAUUUACUUCUUUGUAUAUACUUUUGAAAUAUUUGAUUUACUUUUGAAUUAUUAUUAUUAGCAUCAUGAAGACAGUAGGAGGCCAAACCCAAAGUCUACGUCAUCCAAUCCAAUCCUGCACCAGCUACUAAGCCGGUAGAGUCCCUCUUGAUACUCCAUUAUACCUUGCGACUCAACUUUCCGCUCUGACAAUAAAACCUCUGCUCCCUUUUCACUUUGAUAAACUUUAGUAUUGUUGUGUUUACUUUUAAAGGGAUUUAGUUUACUAUUAAAGAGAUUUAGUUUACUUUUGCUCAAACUUGUAGAAAUUUCUCAAAUUUUUUGAGUUACCAUUCAGUUUCAGUUUGUAUUUGGGAGAGAAUCAACCCUCUUGACAGUUUUGAAUAUUCUUUAUUUUUGUUAUUCUCAGUUCAUCCAUCCAAGAUAUUCAUCUUUUUCCUGCAGUUUUCUAUUUAAAAUUCCAAGUACAUUACUUAACAUCCCUCGUCAUAGUUCCCAUCACCAUGAGGCUUGAAAUUUGAAAACAACUAUCUGAAUCAGAUUUGUGUAAAACAGCAAAAAAACUGGUAAUUGGAAGAAGUGUCCAUCUGUAUAGAUGGUCUAUAAGAUAAGGGCUUCAUUGUUCUUAGGGUUCAUGAGCUCUUCUAGGGAAAGGGGGAGGGGGUGUUCCACCCUUCUCACUUAUCACUACGGGGUAACUAUGAAACAUAUGGCGCUUUUGUGGUAACGUAGCUAAAUCACUAUGACAGAUUGACAGAGACUAUUUUGGCACAACUACCCAGCAUUUGUGAAAUUGAUGAAGAUAUUUUGAGUGUAGUUGAAAUUUCCUUAAGGGCAUUAUAAACUAUUAAGGCUUACUGAUGUUUAUGAAUGUGAUGAUUCCAUAUGUUCCCUAUUAAUGUCACAAUUGUUUGGUCUCAGUAUUGUAGGUUCCUGUUGUAAUGUCUGCAGAGGAUGGCUACUUCCCUGAACUAUAUUUUCCCAUUUUCCUUGGGAAUGCUUGGCUUUCUGAUAACCGUACUGUGAUUCUAUCCUCAAUCUGGAGGAGUACUCAUGUGAUAAUUUCUAUGGAAUGUUACCAACCUAUGUAGGAUUUGAACCUACACCCAUGUGCAAUGACACAUUGCUCUACC